rnacentral:rRNA from 1 species
UACAGAGGGUGCAAGCGUUGUUCGGAAUUACUGGGCGUAAAGCGCGUGUAGGCGGUUUGGUAAGUUCUGUGUGAAAGCCCUGGGCUCAACCCAGGAAGUGCGCAGAAUACUGCCUGACUGGAGUGACGGAGAGGAUGGCGGAAUUCCCGGUGUAGAGGUGAAAUUCGUAGAUAUCGGGAGGAACACCUGUGGCGAAGGCGGCCAUCUGGACGUCAACUGACGCUGAGACGCGAAAGCAUGGGUAGCAAACAGG